rnacentral:rRNA from 1 species
UAGGGAAUCUUCGGCAAUGGACGAAAGUCUGACCGAGCAACGCCGCGUGAAUGAUGAAGGCCUUCGGGUUGUAAAAUUCUGUUAUAAGGGAAGAAAGACACGAGUAGGAAAUGGCUCGUGAGUGACGGUACCUUAUGAGAAAGCCACGGCUAACUACGUGCCAGCAGCCGCGGUAAUACGUAGGUGGCAAGCGUUAUCCGGAAUUAUUGGGCGUAAAGAGCGCGCAGGUGGUUGAUUAAGUCUGAUGUGAAAGCCCACGGCUUAACCGUGGAGGGUCAUUGGAAACUGGUCAACUUGAGUGCAGAAGAGGGAAGUGGAAUUCCAUGUGUAGCGGUGAAAUGCGUAGAGAUAUGGAGGAACACCAGUGGCGAAGGCGGCUUCCUGGUCUGUAACUGACACUGAGGCGCGAAAGCGUGGGGAGCAAACA